rnacentral:rRNA from 1 species
CCUACGGGGGGCAGCAGUGGGGAAUAUUGCACAAUGGGGGAAACCCUGAUGCAGCGACGCCGCGUGAGUGAAGAAGUAUCUCGGUACGUAAAGCUCUAUCAGCAGGGAAGAAAAUGACGGUACCUGACUAAGAAGCCCCGGCUAACUACGUGCCAGCAGCCGCGGUAAUACGUAGGGGGCCAGCGUUAUCCGGAUUUACUGGGUGUAAAGGGAGCGUAGACGGCAGCACAAGUCUGGAGUGAAAUCCCGGGGCUUAACCCCGGAACUGCUUUGGAAACUGUGCGGCUGGAGUGAAGGUGGGGUAAGCGGAAUUCCUAGUGUAGCGGUGAAAUGCGUAGAUAUUAGGAGGAACACCGGUGGCGAAGGCGGCUUACUGGACUGUAACUGACGUUGAGGCUCGAAAGCGUGGGGAGCAAACAGGAUUAGAUACCCCAGUAGUC